AGGGAAUUUUCCGCAAUGGGCGAAAGCCUGACGGAGCAACGCCGCGUGAGUGAGGACGGCCUUCGGGUUGUAAAACUCUGUUCUUGAGGAAGAAUUCCUUCCAGGCGAACAGCCUGGGGGAGGUUGACGGUACUCAAGGAGAAAGCCCCGGCUAACUACGUGCCAGCAGCCGCGGUAAUACGUAGGGGGCGAGCGUUAUCCGGAAUUAUUGGGCGUAAAGCGCGCGCAGGCGGCUGAUUAAGUCAGGUGUGAAAGGCUGCGGCUCAACCGCAGAGCGGCACCUGAAACUGGUCGGCUUGAGUGCAGGAGAGGGGAGCGGAAUUCCCGGUGUAGCGGUGGAAUGCGUAGAGAUCGGGAGGAACACCAGUGGCGAAGGCGGCUCUCUGGCCUGUAACUGACGCUGAGGCGCGAAAGCGUGGGGAGCAAAC
rnacentral:rRNA from 1 species